rnacentral:tRNA from 1 species
GCCUGGCAAGCUCAGCUGGUAGAGCAUGAGACUCUUAAUCUCAAAGUUGUGGGUUCAAGCCCCAUGUUGGGCA